CCUGGAUCCAUUUCUCAAACCUUUAUUGAUGCUCCCCCAGGCUGCAAAGAGAGCUUUGCAGGAAGUACCAUUUUCCCCUUUGCGGGAAAGUGCAGGAAAACCAAAUAGCUCCAUUCCUCAGUUGCCUGACCUUGGCUAGGAGGAGAGGUGGGGUCAGACCACUGGGAUCCAGAAAUGGAGAUUUUGGAGCCAGUGAAGGUUAGGUUAGGUUUGCAUGAAGUCAGAGCAGAGGUCCCAGAGUGCAGGCACCGGACAGGGCUGGGCCUGGCCGAUUGGUUCUCAGCAGUGGUGGAUGGGGAAAAGAAAAUCCUUGGCAGUGGGUUCCAGUAGCCGGGAUGGUGCACAGCACCCCUUUGGGCACUGGGCACGGCUCUGGGGCACCGGGCGGGGUCAGCACCGUGCCUCUGCUGACAGAUCCGGCCAGCCUUCUCAUCACGUGGUGGGUCUAUCCACAGCCCCAUGCCCAGAAUCAUGACACAGGCCUCGCACCCCCAAAAUUCAUUGCGUUCCCCCUGUAACCAGUGGCUGCAGUGGUUGAAUGGCCGGGCGGGGGGUGAUGCUGGGAAUCUAAGCUAGGGAUGGACCCGGGGCCCCCACUUCCUUCCCAGGCUCUAGCCUGUUUAUUGCCUGGGUCUACGCUAGACACCCCAAGUGUCUAACCUGAGUAUACACCUGGGAUAUAACUUACUAACGCCCAGAAUUUAACCCAAGGACACUUCCUAGGGUCCAGCCUGCCCAUCCCUAAGCAUGGAGCCCCAGCCAAGGGGUCCCUGAGAUCUGGCCAAAGCAUGACUUUUUUUUUUUUUUUUUUUUUUUUUUUUUUUUUUUUUUUUUUUUUUUGAGACGGAGUCUAACUCUGUCUCCCAGGCUGGAGUGCAGUGGCGCAAUCUCGGCUCACUGCAACCUCUGCCUCCUGGGUUCAAGUGAUUCUCGUGCCUCAGCAUCCAGGGUUAGCUGGGAUUACAGGCGUGUGCCACCACGCCCGGCUAAUUUUUUGUAUUUUUAGUAGAGAUGGGGUUUCGCCACGUUUCCCAUGCUGGUCUUGAACUCCUGACCUCAGGUGAUCCGCCCACCUCGGCCUCAAAACAUGUCCUCUAGAGUCUAACCUGUGGCCCCCAGGUUUCACCAGGAGCCCUUCCCCUACCUGAAGCUGAGUGGGACUCAGUCCACCCACGAGUAGCCCUGAACCUUGCGCAGGUGUUGCACGGCCCUGCGGCCGAUCCAGUAUUCACGGGCACUAGUGUCACGACUCAGGAA
rnacentral:lncRNA from 1 species